rnacentral:rRNA from 1 species
AGAACUUUCCAGAGAUGGAUUGGUGCCUUCGGGAACUGUGAGACAGGUGCUGCAUGGCUGUCGUCAGCUCGUGUUGUGAAAUGUUGGGUUAAGUCCCGCAACGAGCGCAACCCUUAUCCUUUGUUGCCAGCGGUUCGGCCGGGAACUCAAAGGAGACUGCCAGUGAUAAACUGGAGGAAGGUGGGGAUGACGUCAAGUCAUCAUGGCCCUUACGACCAGGGCUACACACGUGCUACAAUGGCAUAUACAAAGAGAAGCGACCUCGCGAGAGCAAGCGGACCUCAUAAAGUAUGUCGUAGUCCGGAUUGGAGUCUGCAACUCGACUCCAUGAAGUCGGAAUCGCUAGUAAUCGUAGAUCAGAAUGCU